CGCAAGCAGGCCGGUCUCCUUUAAUAUGGCACGCGUAUAAUCACUACUGCUGAAUAUUUCAAAACAUACCCGCAGGGCUGACCCUAUCCGUACCUCAACUACUGACGAUGAGCGUCGGACCACUGCUUACAUCCACUACUUGGCUGCAGUCGAGUUCGGGGCGGAGAAAAAAUGCCAGAGGUGAAAAGCGCCUCGGCAAAACCGAUGAAUCUGCAGUAUACGGAGUUUGCGAUUCUGUUGGACCUAGGCAAGGGCGUGACGAUACCUCGGGGACCGAGGGACGACGACGACGACGGCCACCUCUAUGGGUUCGAAAAACUUCCGACACUCCUCUCCUCAUCGCACCCUGGAGGGUGUUUUGUUUGUGAUUAGGUCUGGAAGUCUGGAGUUUCUCGAACGAUCUCAAAGACAAUGCCAAAGCCUCGCCCCCAUGAAAAAUUUCUCACGAAAACCCAGAAACUUUGCCGUUUAAGGGCUUUCUCAUGCUCCAAAACUCGCGAAAAGGGAUAACAAAAGCUUAAGGAUUUUUUUCCCUCUUUUCAUUUUACAUAACCUUUUGACGAUGUUGCUGAACCGGAAUGUAUAAGGAUUAUCGGGGAAUA